UACGUAGGAUGCAAGCGUUGUCCGGAAUUAUUGGGCGUAAAGAGCGCGCAGGCGGUCUAUCAAGUCAGAUGUGAAAUAUCCGGGCUUAACCCGGAGGGGUCAUUUGAAACUGGUAGACUAGAGUACAGCAGAGGAUAGCGGAAUUCCCGGUGUAGUGGUGAAAUGCGUAGAUAUCGGGAGGAACACCAGUGGCGAAGGCGGCUAUCUGGGCUGAAACUGACGCUGAGGCGCGAAGGCUAGGGGAGCAAACGGG
rnacentral:rRNA from 1 species